GUCCUUUAGGAUAAAUAAUUUAAGGUCUAACCUGCCCACUGAUAAAUUUAAAGGCCGCAGUAAUUUGACUGUGCAAAGGUAGCAUAAUCAUUAGUUUUUUAAUUAAAAGCUUGUAUGAAUGGUUGGACGAGAUAAAAUCUGUCUCUAUUUAAUAAUUAGAAUUUAAUUUUUAAGUUAAAAAGCUUAAAUUAAUAUAAAAGACGAGAAGACCCUAUAGAUCUUAAUAUAGAAUUUUAAAAUUUUAUUUAAGAUUUUUUUAUUAAUUUUAUUAUUUUAUAUUUUAUUGGGGUAAUAAAAAGAUUAAAUUAAUUCUUUUUCAUAUUAUACAAUAAUAAUUGGUUAUUUGAUCCAUUAAUAGUGAUUAUAAGAUUAAGUUACCUUAGGGAUAACAGCGUAAUUUUUUUAGAGAGUUCAUAUCGAUAAAAAAGUUUGCGACCUCGAUGUUGGAUUAAAAAUUAUUUCGGGUGUAGAAGUUCGAAGUUUUGGUCUGUUCGACCAUUAAAUUUUUACAUGAUCUGAGUUCAGACCGGUGUAAGCCAGGUCGGUUUCUAUCUUUAUUAGAUUUAUAUAUUUUAGUACGAAAGGACCAAAUAUUUGAUAUAUUAAUAUUUAUAUUUUGAUUAA
rnacentral:rRNA from 2 species